rnacentral:rRNA from 1 species
CGAGGGUGCAAGCGUUAAUCGGAAUUACUGGGCGUAAAGCGCGCGUAGGCGGCUUGGUCAGUCGGAUGUGAAAGCCCCGGGCUUAACCUGGGAAUUGCAUUCGAUACUGCCAGGCUAGAAUGUAGUAGAGGGAAGUGGAAUUCCAGGUGUAGCGGUGAAAUGCGUAGAUAUCUGGAGGAACAUCAGUGGCGAAGGCGACUUCCUGGACUAACAUUGACGCUGAGGUGCGAAAGCGUGGGGAGCCAACAGGAUUAGAUACCCCAGUAGUCC